CAGGCAGCAUUUGGUCGUGGAAACGAAAUUUCCUGUUGAAUCCGUUCAAUUAGGGACAACGAAAUUGUUAAUCCGUGAUGUGGUGACUCCAAGGGUAGCAUCAAGCAUAGGACGAGGUCACUAAAUCAAGAAAUUCAAGGAAAGAAAGGAAUAAAGGGAAACUUCCAAAAACAUUGACGGGUGAAUAUCACCGAUGCUUCAAGCACGAAUCAAGGAGAAAGACAAGAUUUAUUCUGAGUUACAAAACAGAUGAAGCGCACUUCUCUCGAGACUAGGACGAGUCAGAGCCAACACUUAUUUUACUAAAAUCGUAAAGCAAAUGUUGUGUCGCGAAUUUAUUGGCUUAAAUUUUUAUUUCUCAGUUUGAUAGUCAACCUCAGCGGGUUUAAAAGUUUCAAAUUUUCCCGCCAAAAAUCUUAGAAAAAUACGGUCACGUUUAGUACGCAUGCCUCUUUAUUUAUUCUGUUGAAAUAUGGCGAAUUUUCCCGCCAAAAGACUUAGAAAAAUACGGAGCUCAAAAAUACGCAUGCGCCGUUUUUUUUUAAAUUUAAUAUGCUAGUGGUAUGAACAGUAAAGUGAUCAGUCUCGUCUAUUA